GAAACUGCAACCCUGGUCUGAGGCUGGUAACAUGUUGCAACAAUUUACAAAUGUUACUUUUUAAAAAUGCACUGCAAUUGCUCAUUCGUGAGCUUGCUGGAUGUGUCCUUGUGUGAGAAAUUGCAUCUGUAUUCUUAUUAGUUUUGACAAACUGGAUUAGAGCUUGCCUAUUGUUAAGUGGUUCUAUCUGUCCUCAAAUCUACUGAGAGACACAGCAUUUUUAAUGAAUUUAAUUAAAACUGCAUGUGGCUCAUAGACUUCUCCCCAGUUGCUUUGCCAUUCUUCCUGCCCAAAUAGAGUUGCUGCUAAUAUGUUAUGUUUUAUGUGAGAGUUGUCAGACUCUCAGCUAGAAGCACCAAGGUGGUUUCCAUGGAAUGACAUGGUGGUGAAAUAGUAAAAUUCUAAAAAAACUUCUUUCUACUUAAGUGAGGCAUGUUUACACUAACUAAUGUAUGCAUAAAUGUGUUAAGUAUGUUUGUGAGAGACAUGGGUUGUAUUUCAACACCAGCAAUAUAUUGGCAGCAAGAGGUUUCACAAAAUUUGAUCCUGGCAGCAGGAUUAGUAUGUAUUAUUCUUUGAAGUAUGAAAAAAAAAAUCAGACCUUCGUGGAAUUUCCUUUGGAAGUUCAGUUCAGCUAGGCAAUCACUUUUACUGGCUCUCCUCUAACAACCAGGAAUUGCACGUAAAGACAGCUCCCAGCAUCGACUUUAAACGAUCUGAAAAGGCAUUAGUAACAGAACUGUGUGGGUUACUUUUUUAAACGAAGAUACCUAAUUUGUUUCUUAAAUAUUUUUGGAAAAUGUUUGUUCCAUAAAACUUCAGAGAGGGUGUCAAUGAAGACCUCUAACAGAUCAGCCUCAAAUUCUGAUUCCUGGAGAUGAUUUUCGUUGGGAAUGGCAGGAAAGUGCACAUGUGUGUCUUGGGGGGGGGGGGGGCAGGGAGGGUCACAUGCCUAGGUGUGCUUAUGCAUGUGGAAGCUAGAGGUCAGAGGUCAACAUCAUGUGUCUUUUUCAUAUAUUCUCUACCUUAUUUUUGAGACAGGGUCCCUUGAACCUGGAGCUGGCUGGUCAUCUUGCCAGUAAGCCCCUGGCAGGUAGGAGGAAGAGGAGAGUCUCCUUCUUGUACACCUGGUGCUGCUGUUGCAGGCACUCACUGUCACACUUGGCUGUUUGUGUAGGCUCCGGGAAUCACUAGUACACAGCAAACCUUUUAGCAGUUGAGCCAUCUCCCCAGCUCCCAGCUCUUAGUUUUUAAAACACUAAAAACAUUACCAAGGGAUAAAGUUUUUAAAUGUCACCUUUGGUAAAUAUAUAACACAAUAGACUUUCAUGGAAAUGGACAGGACCAUUGUGAAUGGUUUCAUAAGAUUAAAGAGGGGGAUUUAUGGUUCCAAGACCUAGAGUUGGGUUGAAAGGAAGGCAUGGGGGUGUUUGCAGAAGGAAACCAGCUGGUUGCAUCUUUAUGCCCACACAGAAGGCAGAGGGGGUAAACGGAUGGGCAGAAGAGGUAGCACAGGAUAUGAUGUGAGGCUAUAAGGCUAUAAGCCCUCGAAACCCACCCUUGGUGACGUGCUUCCUCCAGUGAUGCUGUCCCUCCUAAGGGUUCCAUAACUCCCCAAAGCGUGCCACUAGCUUGUAUGAAGUUCAAAUGCAGGAGCCUAUUGUGGACACUUUCUCAUUCAAACCACAGUAGGAAACAAGAAGUUUUAGGCAAAUAGCACUAAGUAGAUUAGAAAUUCUAGAAAUAGGCACUGUGGGGCAAGAGAGAUGAGCCCAGAUUGUAGGCAGGGGGUGAACUAUGAGUAUCCCAUGGGGAAAGCAUGGAAGCAAAGAGAGGUCAUGGCAAGGUGAAAGGUUGAGCUCUUGAGAAAUUAGUGGGAAAACGACAGGAAUGAUCAAUGGGUAGGAUUUGAGGAGCAGAAAUGGACUAUGGGCUACGUCUACAUUCAUCUGCCUCCUACAUUUGUAGUGAGAACAGAUGUAGUUAGCACUAAAAAUAAUGCAAGCUUGGAUAUGGUCAAAUAUGCCUGUAAUCCCAGCACUCAGGAAGCCGAAGCAGUAGGAUCGUGAGUUCAAGUCCUGCCUGGUGCAGUCUGGGCCAGCCUGAACAUGAUCACACACACACACACACACACACACACACACACACACACCUCAUAAAACCAAAUUAAAAAUAAAUGUAUUGCAUAACACUCUUAGUAAAAGUCUUGGUAUGUUACCCAUGUUAAUAAAUUUUUAAGAUAAAAAUUACCAUUUAAACAUAUUAUUGGACAAUAUCUAGAAAUUUCCAUAAACAGUUUCUUGUAUCAGUUAAAAAAUGAUCAAAUAUCCUUUCAAUAAAUAUCUUUCACUAGUUAAAACUGAAAUAAUUUUAGAUGGUAUCAUCUUUUCCAAAUAUCUCAUUAACCGGAAGAGAACUCUAUUGAGUGUUUUAAGUAAGAAUAAAAUUUAAAUUCUGCACAGGAAAGGUAAAAACAAUCUCAGCUCAGUUAGAUAAAGGAAGUAUGGGUUGCAUAGGCAUUGUCCUG
rnacentral:lncRNA from 1 species